rnacentral:rRNA from 1 species
UACGGGGGGGGCAAGCGUUGUUCGGAAUUACUGGGCGUAAAGGGUCUGUAGGUGGCUUGCUAAGUCAGACGUGAAAUCCCUCAGCUUAACUGGGGAACUGCGUCUGAGACUGGCGAGCUUGAGGGCAGGAGAGGAACGCGGAAUUCCAGGUGUAGCGGUGAAAUGCGUAGAUAUCUGGAGGAACACCGGUGGCGAAGGCGGCAUCCUGGACCGGUAUUGACGCUGAGGCGCGAAAGCCAGGGGAGCAAACGGG